rfam:Gossypium arboreum cultivar AKA8401 contig_99496_1, whole genome shotgun sequence.
AUCCCAUGAUGAGGACACUUACGAAGUAACUCCUUUAAUUGCUCCCAAGCCUCAUACAAAGACUCGUCAUCCAAUUGUUGGAAAGUAGUGACCUCAUUCGUUAACUU